rnacentral:rRNA from 1 species
GUCGAGCGAGCUUGCCUAGAUGAUUUUAGUGCUUGCACUAAAUGAAACUAGAUACAAGCGAGCGGCGGACGGGUGAGUAACACGUGGGUAACCUGCCCAAGAGACUGGGAUAACACCUGGAAACAGAUGCUAAUACCGGAUAACAACACUAGACGCAUGUCUAGAGUUUGAAAGAUGGUUCUGCUAUCACUCUUGGAUGGACCUGCGGUGCAUUAGCUAGUUGGUAAGGUAACGGCUUACCAAGGCAAUGAUGCAUAGCCGAGUUGAGAGACUGAUCGGCCACAUUGGGACUGAGACACGGCCCAAACUCCUACGGGAGGCAGCAGUAGGGAAUCUUCCACAAUGGACGAAAGUCUGAUGGAGCAACGCCGCGUGAGUGAAGAAGGGUUUCGGCUCGUAAAGCUCUGUUGGUAGUGAAGAAAGAUAGAGGUAGUAACUGGCCUUUAUUUGACGGUAAUUACUUAGAAAGUCACGGCUAACUACGUGCCAGCAGCCGCGGUAAUACGUAGGUGGCAAGCGUUGUCCGGAUUUAUUGGGCGUAAAGCGAGUGCAGGCGGUUCAAUAAGUCUGAUGUGAAAGCCUUCGGCUCAACCGGAGAAUUGCAUCAGAAACUGUUGAACUUGAGUGCAGAAGAGGAGAGUGGAACUCCAUGUGUAGCGGUGGAAUGCGUAGAUAUAUGGAAGAACACCAGUGGCGAAGGCGGCUCUCUGGUCUGCAACUGACGCUGAGGCUCGAAAGCAUGGGUAGCGAACAGGAUUAGAUACCCUGGUAGUCCAUGCCGUAAACG